ACGGGAGGCAGCAGUGGGGAAUAUUGGGCAAUGGGCGAAAGCCUGACCCAGCAACGCCGCGUGAAGGAAGAAGGUCUUCGGAUUGUAAACUUCUUUUAUGAGGGACGAAGGACGUGACGGUACCUCAUGAAUAAGCCACGGCUAACUCCGUGCCAGCAGCCGCGGUAAUACGGAGGAUCCGAGCGUUAUCCGGAUUUAUUGGGUUUAAAGGGUGCGUAGGCGGCAUCUCAAGUCUGUGGUGAAAUGUCAGGGCUCAACCUUGGCACUGCCAUGGAAACUGGGGGGCUAGAGUGCGUUUGGGGUGCAUGGAAUGUGUGGUGUAGCGGUGAAAUGCAUAGAUAUCACACAGAACGCCGAUCGCGAAGGCAGUGCACCAAGCCGCGACUGACGCUGAGGCACGAAAGUGCGGGGAUCGAACAGGAUUAGAUACCCUGGUA
rnacentral:rRNA from 1 species